UACGGGAGGCAGCAGUGAGGAAUAUUGGUCAAUGGACGCAAGUCUGAACCAGCCACGUCGCGUGAAGGAAGACGGCCCUACGGGUUGUAAACUUCUUUUGUAAGGGAAUAAAGUGGGCCACGUGUGGUCUUUUGCAAGUACCUUACGAAUAAGGAUCGGCUAACUCCGUGCCAGCAGCCGCGGUAAUACGGAGGAUCCGAGCGUUAUCCGGAUUUAUUGGGUUUAAAGGGUGCUCAGGCGGGCUAUUAAGUCGGCGGUGAAAUUUUGCAGCUCAACUGUAAAAGUGCCUUCGAAACUGGUAGCCUUGAGUGUGGAUGAGGUAGGCGGAAUUUGUGGUGUAGCGGUGAAAUGCAUAGAUAUCACGAGGAACUCCGAUUGCGCAGGCAGCUUACUAAACCAUAACUGACGCUCAAGCACGAAGGCGUGGGGAUCAAACAGGAUUAGAUACCCUGGUAGUCCACGCAGUAAACGAUGAUUACUGGCUGUUUGCGAUAUACAGUAAGCGGCUGAGCGAAGCGUUAAGUAAUCCACCUGGGGAGUACGUUCGCAAGAUGAAACUCAAAGGAAUUGACGA
rnacentral:rRNA from 1 species